rnacentral:rRNA from 1 species
UGGGGAAUAUUGCACAAUGGGCGCAAGCCUGAUGCAGCCAUGCCGCGUGUGUGAAGAAGGCCUUCGGGUUGUAAAGCACUUUCAGCGGGGAGGAAGGCGGUGAGGUUAAUAACCUCAUCGAUUGACGUUACCCGCAGAAGAAGCACCGGCUAACUCCGUGCCAGCAGCCGCGGUAAUACGGAGGGUGCAAGCGUUAAUCGGAAUUACUGGGCGUAAAGCGCACGCAGGCGGUCUGUCAAGUCGGAUGUGAAAUCCCCGGGCUCGACCUGGGAACUGCAUUCGAAACUGGCAGGCUAGAGUCUUGUAGAGGGGGGUAGAAUUCCAGGUGUAGCGGUGAAAUGCGUAGAGAUCUGGAGGAAUACCGGUGGCGAAGGCGGCCCCCUGGACAAAGACUGACGCUCAGGUGCGAAAGCGUGGGGAGCAAACAGG